rnacentral:tRNA from 1 species
AAAGUUCUCCAAAACACA